UGGGGGAUAUUGCGCAAUGGGGGCAACCCUGACGCAGCAACGCCGCGUGAAGGAUGAAGGUUUUCGGAUUGUAAACUUCUUUUAUUAAGGACGAAAAAUGACGGUACUUAAUGAAUAAGCUCCGGCUAACUACGUGCCAGCAGCCGCGGUAAUACGUAGGGAGCAAGCGUUGUCCGGAUUUACUGGGUGUAAAGGGUGCGUAGGCGGCUUUGCAAGUCAGAUGUGAAAUCUAUGGGCUCAACCCAUAAACUGCAUUUGAAACUGUAGAGCUUGAGUGAAGUAGAGGCAGGCGGAAUUCCCCGUGUAGCGGUGAAAUGCGUAGAGAUGGGGAGGAACACCAGUGGCGAAGGCGGCCUGCUGGGCUUUAACUGACGCUGAGGCACGAAAGCGUGGGUAGCAAACAGG
rnacentral:rRNA from 4 species